rnacentral:rRNA from 1 species
UACGUAGGCAGCAAGCGUUGUUCGGAGUUACUGGGCGUAAAGGGUGCGUAGGCGGCCCUGUAAGUAUGGUGUGAAAUCUCCCGGCUUAACUGGGAGGGUGCGCUAUAGACUGCGGGGCUCGAGUGUGGGAGAGGAAAGUGGAAUUCCUGGUGUAGCGGUGAAAUGCGUAGAUAUCGGGAGGAACACCUGUGGCGAAAGCGGCUCACUGGACCACAACUGACGCUGAUGCACGAAAGCUAGGGGAGCAAACAGG